GACGAACGCUGGCGGCGUGCUUAACACAUGCAAGUCGAACGGGAAGGCCCUUCUUUUGUGGCGUGCUCGAGUGGCGCACGGGUGAGUAACACGUGGGUAGCCUGCCCUUGACUUUGGGCUACCUUCAGGACACUGGGGCUAGUACCGGAUAGGAGCUCAUGCUCCAUGGUGGGGGUUGGAAACUUUGGGCGGUUGGGGAUGGGCACGCGGCUUAUCAGCUGGUUGGUGGGGUAGUGGCUUACCAGGGCUUUGACGGGUAGCCGGCCGGAGCGGGUGACCGGCAACAUUGGGACUGCGAUACGGCCCAGACUCCUACGGGAGGCAGCAGUGGGGAAGAUUGCACAACGGGGGGAAGCCGGAUGCAGCAACGCCGCGUGCGGGAUGACGGCCGUCGGGGUGUAGACAGCUUUCGCCUGCGAAGAAGCGUGAGUGACGGUAAUGGGUAAAGAAGCACCGGCUAACUACGUG
rnacentral:rRNA from 1 species